UCAUGAUCACGUGACAAUGAUGAACGUCGUUCCGGAGUCUAGAGCAACGUCCCAAACGCAGGACAGGUGGAUUCUGAAUCGCGAUGUAUUUAUUAAUUGUGAGUACCACGAAGGAGUAACAAUAUGAUGAAAUAAAAGAGAAGGAAGUUCGGCAUGGCAUUAGGCGUCUUUAAUUGAAACAAUUUUAAGAUAUAAAAUCCAUCUGACGAUUUUGAAAAUCUGAGAGAUCUGGGAGAAAUAUUAGGUAUCAGAGCAGAGUAACCAAAGUUUCGCCUGUUUAAACAUUAAGUGCGGGAGUGUCGUGUAAAGUGUCGCGCGUUCAAGUGCUGAAGUAUCGUGUAAAGUGUCGCGUGUUCAAGUGCGGGAGUGUCGUGUAAAGUGUCGCGCGUUUAAGUGCGGGAGUGUUGUAUAAAAUAUCGCGCGUUUAAAUCAAUAGACUGAUAAUUAUCAUGCAAUCCUGAUCAAUCUGAGAGGAGGAGCAGGCCUAGGAGAGGCAUCAAGCGCCGGUGGAGCAACUCUGUGAUCAACGUAGCUUUCAAUACAGUCAACUUCGUUGUUACGCAUCAUCGAUU